GAGAGAGAGAGAGAGAGAGAGGCGAGUGCGCGGAUCACAGAUCGAACAUUUCGAUUGUUACUGAAAUAAUUUGCAUACUGAUUCCCUUGCAGCCCGCGCCGAUCCAUAACUGCUCGCGCGGCUAUUCAAAUGCACGCGCAUCUUUAAAUGCACGGAUAAGGCAGAAUCAAGAGUCGAGAGACAAGCCAACAACACCGUCCGAAACAGAGGUUUUGCCCGUGGAUGCUGAGGUUCGAUCAUGGAAAUGGUGGGAAAGCGAUUAUGCUGCUGGACGAGACCCGCCGGAUGGACGCAGGAAGCGCCGUGCCCACGGAGCACACUGAACAGAUUAUACACUAAAACAAAUGAUUGCUUUCAAUGGCAAACUGUGGAUAACACACACAACUUACAGCUGUUAGCUUCAGGAGUCUUGAAGCGUCACCUUUGACAUGUCCCCUACGCACGAGCGGGGGCCCAGGGCUGGGGCCCCCAGGACUGACCACUGCAAGCUGUCACCCCACCCGGGCAUGGACGCUUUCGCCGGACUCCUAGCUGUCAAGUUAUCCCGUUCUCUCGCUUGACUGGACAUGAAACUGACUUUUUGGAGUCGAUUUUUAACUAUAAACAAUGUGAAGUCGUGCAAAGUGAUAUCUCUUGAAUGUAUGUGUGGGGGGAGUGGUAGGGGGAUCUUGUAACUACCUUGGUAAUUGUUGUCCUGCCUGCAAAAAUUGUAUUGGUUCAUUUUGUUAUUUUAAAAACUUUUAAAGACGAUUAUGUUAUUAGAUUUUUAUCUGGCUCUUUUACACAGUCUGUGUUUAUAUACAUAUAUAUAUAAUUUAUUUUUACCGUUUUGUAAAGUUGGAUUGACACGUUGUGUGUGUGUGUGUGUGUGUGUGUGUGUGUGUGUGUGUGUGUGUGUGUGUGUGUGUGUGUAUGUGUGUACUUGUUUUUCUAUUCUGGUGGGGACUUAAACCUGAAUACACACAGACUCAUGGGGACUCGUGUCACGGUGGGGACCUAAAUUGAGGUCCCCACGGGUAAACAAGCUAAUAAAUUACACAGAAUGAAGUUUCUUGAAAAUCUAAAAAUGCAGAAAGUUUCCUGUGAGGGUUAGGUUUAGGUGUAGGGUUGGUGAAGGGCGAUAGAAAAUACGGUCUGUACAGUAUAAAAACCAUUACACCUAUGGAGAGUCCCCACAAGGAUAGCUGACCAGACAUAUGUGUGUGUGUGUGUGUGUGUGUGUGAUAUGUAUUCAAUAAAAUCCAUAACUGUAUAAACAAACGUAUGAUUGUAACAUUGAUUUGAUACAUAAAAGUAUGUUGCCUAUUCAUCUGUGUGCAGAAUAAAGUUCACUCAAACGUAA